UACGUAGGUGGCAAGCGUUGUCCGGAAUUAUUGGGCGUAAAGCGCGCGCAGGUGGUUUCUUAAGUCUGAUGUGAAAGCCCACGGCUCAACCGUGGAGGGUCAUUGGAAACUGGGGAACUUGAGUGCAGGAGAGAAGAGUGGAAUUCCACGUGUAGCGGUGAAAUGCGUAGAGAUGUGGAGGAACACCAGUGGCGAAGGCGACUCUUUGGCCUGUAGCUGACACUGAGGCGCGAAAGCGUGGGGAGCAAACAGG
rnacentral:rRNA from 1 species